CCUAUCAAAUAGGAAAAAGAGCAAAGUUUUCACCCAGUAUUUUUCACUAACAGCAAUUGAUUAAUAUUUUAGAGUGCACAGGUGUUUCCUAAACAUAAGUCCUAUCAAAGUUAAAUAAAGAUCCUUUGUAACUUAAAACUCUAAGCAGAUACAAGAUUUUCCUUUUGUCCCAAUGGUAUAAUGAUUUGUGAAUGCAAUUGUUUUUUUUUUAUUCCAGGCUAUUAUGAAAAUGGGGAAGUUACUGAAAUGUGUUCAGACUUCAGUAAAUUUCCACUCUGUUGCCUAGGAGUUAAAACUUUGAUACACGAUGGAUUGCACUAAACUGUUGGAAAUCAUGCAAACCCAGCUUUCUAGUUAGCCACAGGAAGCAUUUUAAAAUUGUACCUGAAAAGCGCUAAUAAUGAAGAUCCUUUUUUUUCUUUUUUAAAUUAACGCAGCUGAUAGUUGAUUUAAAAAAGAAAAUUUUAUUCUUCAGAAUACACACGCUGUGUUUCUGAGUUCAGGAACUGCAUGAUCUUGUUCGCAUCUCAGCUUUUUCUGUUUAGCUACAGAGUAAUUCCAUAUGCUAAAAUUGCACUGUGAAAGCUAAAACGUUGAGGGUCUGUGUUAAGGAGAUAAGGAAGAACAUGUACCUUUUGAAGGGGGGUGUCAGUUUCUUUAAACUGAGUGCCUAGCCGAUAACACUCUUUGCUUUUGGUAGCCUACCUAGUCCAGAUAGGCUUUCCAGUACUAGAUAAUCUUUUGAGCAGAGCCAAUCCCACAUUCUGAGUACUUGGUCUAAUAAAAAAAUAAAAAGGAAAAAAAAAUCUACAUCAAGAGCUCUGUAUUUUGAAUCUUCUUGAAUGCGGACAAAAGCAGUUUUGCUUCCUUAUUUUUGGGGCUAUUUGAUGAGUAUACUUCACUUAUACGAAGAACCGUAUGUCUGUUUCCCAGACUGAACUUGUGAAAGAGAAGUCAUUUUAGCAACAAACGGGGAAAGAAGUGUCAUCCUCAGGCAGUCAUGACAUGGGGAAGGUAAUAGUUUAUUACUUUGUAACGUGCCUGAAGCAGACAAAGCAGCAGGUUUGUUCGGUGGGAUUGUUUUCUUCAAUGCCAAGUAUAGCUGAAGGAAUGGGAAGGUACUGAGCUGAGUUUGGUCAGGAGUAUUGCAGCAUUUUUCCCCUCAGGAGUAUACUCUGCCUCCCCCUCCUAACUCUAAGAACUGGUGAAGUGUUAAGCCUUGGGAGAUGCUGUCGAGGUUGGAAAGGUGGAUGGGCAGAGGAAGAGGUCCUGGAGUGGGGGCUGGGGCUGGGCACGGAGCUGUUCCGGGAAGGCUCUGUCUGGGGGAGAGGGACGGUGGGGUGCAGGAGCAGGGGCAGUCGGUGCCUGGCUGUCACCGGGUGCCCUGCGGGACAAGCUCAGCUGCGCCGGGUCUCCUGCUGGUUUUCCUCUCACCCCUUCUUCCUUCCCGGAGAGUGAGCUUCGUGAUGUUCCAUCCCUGUCCCUAAUCCAGCCACCUCCUCUGUCCUGUUCCCUGUCCUCCUCUGCCAGGUGCAGUCUACCCGCCUCGCUUAGAAACCAUCAAAUUAAGCUAUUGUGGAAAACAAUUUAGUGUUUAUCUUUCCCUCUGCCCUUUACUAGCUAGAAUCAGAAUUGCCGAACUCUGGGGCUUGCUCCCUUUGUUGGUAGCUACAGAUUUCUUCUUAAGACCCGAAGUACUUGAAGCAAAAACAUUUGAGUAUCAUGCAGUUGUUCCUGAGUGUCCUUAAAGUGCCACACAGUGACUGGGUAUGCAUUGGAAAGUGUUCAUACUGGUCUUGUGGAGCUGGCUCAGUGAGUGGAUCAGAUGGAGUGAGCCCUGGCACCGACAGUUGCAGGAUGGUCUGGGCAAACCUCUGGAGGACUCGGGCACACAAGCUGACAUCUGGGACAGGAAGAGACCUGCAUAAAGCAGAGAGAAGGAUCAAACAGCAUUGAAAGGAUCUGCAUUUUAAAGGAAGUUGUUAGCACGGAGGAUGAAGGGGCAGGUGGAAAGCAAGAAGGAACAGAUGACAAAAUCUCUGAGGGUCUUCACAGAGAUGCGACUGCGGAGAAGUACGUAAGAAAAAGCUGCCAAAAGGCGACCCUCCAGCUAACGGUGGGAACCACCUCGCCAGGCCGGACGGCACCCUGCCGUCCCGCAGCGGCAGCCGUACCUGCGCGCCGUGGCCGUGCCCCAGCUCAGCUCUGCACGUGAGGCCCCAGCAGCCGUGUCAGCUCAUCCUCCCCAGGGGCCUGAGCCAGCUCCCUCCUUGAAGAGGAGCUGCUGGUCUCCCCUAUUUCUACAGGCAUCGGCUCGGGGCCUGUCCCAGCGGCACAGUGCUCAGCGCCGAGACGUCCUCUCUUCUCGCCCAGGGCCCGUUGACGCCGGCAUCGCCCGCCAGCGCCUCUCCUGCAGCCUCUGCCUGGGCGGUCGAUGCCCAACAGAUGCGGGAGGCUGCGUGUCGCCCGGCCAACUCGCAUUUCAGCAGGAGCUGGGUGCUGCCUCCUCCCGCUUUCCUCCUGGCUCGCCGCCGAGGCCUCGGCGGCCAGUUCUCACCUCCGGUUAUCAGUUCUGGCGGUGUGGCCGGAGGGACGGUCUCCCCGUGCGUGCACGGGCAAACCUGGGCAGAGUAAUGCUGGGACACCAGAUACCGCAGCGCUCCCUGACUCUCCCGGGGCUGAAGCUCUGAUCUUGGCUGGUCCGUGGGCCACCGGUGGCAGACCCGACGUCCCCGUGCAGGAGCAGAAACCCCACCGGUUCAGCAUCAGUAGGUGGAAACACUGAGCAGCAGUGUCAGCUCCCUUCUCAGUAGAUGCGAUACAGUAGCAAAAUCUAAAAAGGAACUAACAAAGAAAUGCUUGCAAAAUAAAAAUGCUUCUGCUGUGAAUAGAAA